AGCAGCCGCGGUAAAUCCAGCUCCAAUAGCGUAUAUUAAAGUUGUUGCAGUUAAAAAGCUCGUAGUUGAAUUUUGGAUUCUGCCAGUUGGUCCAUCUUUUGAUGAGUACUGAUUGUGUGGGGUCUAUCCGCCUGGUGAUACGUAAUGUACUUUAUUGUAUGUUGCGGGUAGUCAGGACCUUUACCUUGAAAAAUUAGAGUGUUUAAAGCAGGCUUAUGCCGGAAUACAUUAGCAUGGAAUAAUAGAAUAGGACGAUGUUGUUUUAUUUUGUUGGUUUCUAGGACAACCGUAAUGAUUAAUAGGGAUAGUUGGGGGCAUUAGUAUUCAAUUGUCAGAGGUGAAAUUCUUGGAUUUAUUGAAGACUAACUACUGCGAAAGCAUUUGCCAAGGAUGUUUUCAUUAAUCAAGAACGAAAGUUAGGGGAUCGAAGGCGACCAGAUACCGUCGUAGUCUUAACCAUAAACUAUGCCGACUAGGGAUCGGGCGAUGUUGUUUCCAUGACUCGCUCGGCACCUUAUA
rnacentral:rRNA from 1 species